CAGUAGCCGCGGUAAUACGUAGGUGGCAAGCGUUGUCCGGAAUUAUUGGGCGUAAAGGGCUCGCAGGCGGUUUCUUAAGUCUGAUGUGAAAGCCCCCGGCUCAACCGGGGAGGGUCAUUGGAAACUGGGAAACUUGAGUGCAGAAGAGGAGAGUGGAAUUCCACGUGUAGCGGUGAAAUGCGUAGAGAUGUGGAGGAACACAGUGGCGAAGGCGACUCUCUGGUCUGUAACUGACGCUGAGGAGCGAAAGCGUGGGGAGCGAACAGGAUUAGAUACCCCCGUAGUCCCUGUCUCUUAUACA
rnacentral:rRNA from 1 species